rnacentral:rRNA from 1 species
UGAGGAACAUGACUUUCGGCGGGGAUAGCCGGCCCAACGGCCGGGUAAUACCGCGUACGACCUCUCGGGGACAUCCCCGGUUGGUGAAAGCAGCAAUGCGCCGAAAGAGUGCCUCGCGGCCUAUCAGCUAGUUGGUGAGGUAACGGCUCACCAAGGCAACGAUGCGUAGCCGACCUGAGAGGGUGAUCGGCCACAUUGGAACUGAGACACGGUCCAGACUCCUACGGGAGCAGCAGG